rnacentral:rRNA from 1 species
AACGAACGCUGGCGGCAUGCCUAACACAUGCAAGUCGAACGAGACCUUCGGGUCUAGUGGCGCACGGGUGCGUAACGCGUGGGAACCUGCCCUUAGGUUCGGAAUAACUCCCCGAAAGGGGUGCUAAUACCGGAUAAUGUCUUCGGACCAAAGAUUUAUCGCCUUUGGAUGGGCCCGCGUUGGAUUAGCUAGUUGGUAGGGUAAAAGCCUACCAAGGCGACGAUCCAUAGCUGGUCUGAGAGGAUGAUCAGCCACACUGGGACUGAGACACGGCCCAGACUCCUACGGGAGGCAGCAGUGGGGAAUAUUGGACAAUGGGCGAAAGCCUGAGCCAGCAAUGCCGCGGGAGUGAUGAAGGCCUUAGGGUUGUAAAGCUCUUUUACACGGGAUGAUAAUGACAGUACCGGGAGAAUAAGCUCCGGCUAACUCCGUG